rnacentral:lncRNA from 1 species
AACAAAAGCAUCCUCUGGGAAUUAAUUUACGUUAUAGUUUUUAACAAGUAUAUUUACAAUAUAUAUAUAUAUAUAUACAAAUACUCACCCCAGAAUCAGCAGAUCAGAGGUGUUUUCAUCAGCAAAUCUCGGACAGGAAUUUAAAGUAACCUUCUUCCUCCUCCUUUCAUGUCGUGCAUUAAAACUUGUCUCUCUUUUAGAGCUCAGACAUUGAGAUGUUGAGUAGUAAAUUGUUUAGGCUUACCACUAUCACAUCACUGCCCGCCUCUCUCCUCAAGGUCAAAUUAAACAUUCUCUCUGAGUUGUUUCUGUUUUCAACUUACGGGAAAGAAAAAACCUCAGAUUUUUACUAGAGUUGUGACCUGACAUCAACCCAAAGCACAGCAUUGAGACGAGUAGGAUGUGAAGAUAAGUGGGGAGAGCCAUGGAAAAGCUGGGAUAUGUGGUCUGUCUGCUGCUGCUGACUGGGAUACUGGUGAAUGUGGAGACAAAAUGUGUGUGCUCAAGGAAAUCUAAAUGUAACUGUGAUGGAGUGAAAGGCAGCAGGGGUGACAAAGGUGUCCCAGGACCUUCAGGUUCCCCUGGGCUUCAGGGGCAUCCAGGACCUCAUGGCUCCUUUGGACCAAAGGGACCAAAGGUAUCAAAUACAGCCUCACUUCUCUUUUGUUUCUCUCUGUACCUCUAUUGGUAAUCUCACUCCCCUGAUAUUAAA